rnacentral:rRNA from 1 species
GAUGAACGCUGGCGGCGUGCCUAAUACAUGCAAGUCGAGCGAACAGACGAGGAGCUUGCUCCUCUGACGUUAGCGGCGGACGGGUGAGUAACACGUGGAUAACCUACCUAUAAGACUGGGAUAACUUCGGGAAACCGGAGCUAAUACCGGAUAAUAUAUUGAACCGCAUGGUUCAAUAGUGAAAGACGGUUUUGCUGUCACUUAUAGAUGGAUCCGCGCCGCAUUAGCUAGUUGGUAAGGUAACGGCUUACCAAGGCAACGAUGCGUAGCCGACCUGAGAGGGGGAUCGGGCACACUGGAACUGAGACACGGUCCAGACUCCUACGGGAGGCAGCAGUAGGGAAUCUUCCGCAAAGGGCGAAAGCCUGACGGAGCAACGCCGCGUGAGUGAUGAAGGUCUUCGGAUCGUAAAACUCUGUUAUUAGGGAAGAACAAAUGUGUAAGUAACUAUGCACGUCUUGACGGUACCUAAUCAGAAAGCCACGGCUAACUACGUG